GACGAACGCUGGCGGCGUGCUUAACACAUGCCAGUCGAACGGAAAGGCCCUGCUUUUGUGGGGUGCUCGAGUGGCGAACGGGUGAGUAACACGUGAGUAACCUGCCCUUGACUUUGGGAUAACUUCAGGAAACUGGGGCUAAUACCGGAUAGGAGCUCCUGCUGCAUGGUGGGGGUUGGAAAGUUUCGGCGGUUGGGGAUGGACUCGCGGCUUAUCAGCUUGUUGGUGGGGUAGUGGCUUACCAAGGCUUUGACGGGUAGCCGGCCUGAGAGGGUGACCGGCCACAUUGGGACUGAGAUACGGCCCAGACUGCUACGGGAGGCAGCAGUGGGGAAUUUUGCACAAUGGGCGGAAGCCUGAUGAAGCAACGCCGCGUGCGGGAUGACGGCCUUCGGGUUGUAAACCGCUUUCGCCUGUGACGAAGCGUGAGUGACGGUAAUGGGUAAAGAAGCACCGGCUAACUACGUG
rnacentral:rRNA from 1 species